AAGGUUAGCGGCGGACGGGUGAGUAACACGUAGGCAACCUGCCUGUAAGACCGGGAUAACUCACGGAAACGUGUGCUAAUACCGGAUAAUCAAUCGGUUCACCUGGACCGAUUGUGAAAGGUGCUCCGGCACCGCUUGCGGAUGGGCCUGCGGCGCAUUAGCUAGUUGGCGGGGUAACGGCCCACCAAGGCGACGAUGCGUAGCCGACCUGAGAGGGUGAUCGGCCACACUGGGACUGAGACACGGCCCAGACUCCUACGGGAGGCAGCAGUAGGGAAUCUUCGGCAAUGGACGAAAGUCUGACCGAGCAACGCCGCGUGAGUGAGGAAGGUCUUCGGAUCGUAAAGCUCUGUUGCCAGGGAAGAACAGCCCGGGGAGGGAAUGCCCCGGGUGUGACGGUACCUGAGAAGAAAGCCCCGGCU
rnacentral:rRNA from 1 species